rnacentral:rRNA from 1 species
UACAGAGGGUGCAAGCGUUAAUCGGAAUUACUGGGCGUAAAGCGUGCGUAGACGGUUAUGUAAGUCGGGUGUGAAAGCCCCGGGCUCAACCUGGGAAUUGCAUUCGAGACUGCAUAGCUAGGGUGCGGAAGAGGGAAGCGGAAUUUCCGGUGUAGCGGUGAAAUGCGUAGAUAUCGGGAAGAACACCCGUGGCGAAGGCGGCUCUCUGGGACGGUACUGACGCUGAGACGCGAAAGCGUGGGGAGCGAACAGG